GCUCCGUGCCACCCUGAGGUCGAGGAAUCCCAGCCCGUCCCAUUCUGGAAUCAGAGAUGGCCUAGUUGUGAACACCUGUGCUCUGCUGGGGCAGCCGGCCAGCAGAGGGACCUGAGGUCCCCGGGCAGCUCCCAGGUCGCCCUGAACCACCUCAGGAGCUGGAGAAAGCCCCAUGGGAGGAGCUGGAGGGCAGCGCCCACCUGACAGGAGACCCGCAUGCUCCUGAAGGAAGAUCCAGGUUGGCCAGGUGGCCUGCUCACUGCGUGGACUCUUCUCUCUGGCCCUACUGCAAAAGGAUCUCGCUUGGGUUUGUCUGGGCUAAAGCAAUGGCUGCAUCUGCCUAAGCCCCACUUUCCCUGGUGUCCGGCGGUCCUCACGGCCCACGCAACAUGUCGCCAUAGGAAAAUAUUGCCAUCUGAUUGAUUUAUCUCCUCCCGAGAUCCUCCAUUGGUACUUAAUGUGCAGCAGUGAGAGCGGCAUGUGGAGACACCUUACCCAGCGCGGCAGAUCUCCGGUGCUCCCGGGAUGGAGGGCCUGACGCUUGCGAGGCUGAUCUUCUCAUUAUAGCAUGCAGAUGAAAUGUCAUCCGCUAUCGGCUGUGAUAUAGAUCCACAAGAGAGAUAUAUAGAUUUGCGUGGUGCCAGUAACACACAAAUUGGCUUUCUAAAGCCUCUAGUAUUUGAAAUACUCUUUCACGAAUAUAACCAACUCAAAACAGCAUCUAAAAUAUUUUAAAAUUAAUUUUAGUUUAUAUCUUGCAUUUACAGAAAAGAAAAGCCAGGAUUUGCAGUAGCAAUUAAUACUGUGAAUUAUCUGGUUCCCCUUCUCAGUUACAUGUACCCAAACAUGCUCCCGUGUGGCUGUCCACAGCUUUGUCCCACUGUUGGGGUUUUGUGCACUCCCAGGAAGGGACCUUCUGUUCAUUGAUUGGCAUGAGUAGAGUCCAUUAAAGAAGUCUAGAUCUCAAGGAACACGAGGAAGACACCAGUGAGGCAUUCCCAGCCCUAAGUGGGGCAAACGAGAAGGGAGGCUUAACAGAAAUCAAUGCUCUGGCUGGGGAGCACAGGGGGGCCAUCUGUGCCUUUUGCAGAGGGCUCGUGCCUCCAUCAGAAUCCCUUCACCUUUCCGCCCUGUCCCGAGGCCUGCACACUCAGCUUGUGUAAGAGCAGGAGCUCAUUACCAAGGGGAUUAAAUCAGCUGCUUAAAAACAAAAACCCCUCUCCAUUCUGAUAAAGCAACAUUAAAGGUGCUUCAGUACACAGGAGCUUAGAAACUCAGAGUGUGGGCCCAGCCCUGGCCGGGACCUGGCCCUCAGUGACUCAGCUUUAGCACCAGCAAUGAGAUCCAGAGCAUCAGCCACUGAACCCACAGUCCCUGCAGGAGUCCGGAGAGGGUCACCCUGUUUCAUAGAUGGAAAAGCAAGUCAACAGAGCAGCGGGGGUCCGAGUCUCGGCAAUGCCCCAGAGGCGGUUCUUUCCACUCAAAGGGCCACGUCUUCCCUGGAAUAAGAGGCUGUUUCAGGGUCUGAGUGAGGAUGAGGCCACAGCCUGCUUUCCCAGGGAACACCCCGCUGCCAGCCUUCAGCCCUGCCUGCUGCCAGCCUCAGAUGGUGUGACCUGGCGUUGAGUGGGCAGGCCAGCAACGCAGUCUGAGGUCAAGCACUGAGUCUGCUCCCAGUGAAGGAGGGCAGAGCCCCCUGCUCCCCGGCAGCCAGCACAGGAAGUCCCUACUCACUUCCACUAUCUGCCCCCAAGUUCUGCAGAGGGCCACGUAUGCAUGGUGGCUGGCUUUCCUUUCUUUAAAGGAAAGUGCCCUUUUAUUAAUGGAUGUACGUGUUUAUAAUGAACCGGGAUCCAUCUGCCUAGAGUGCAGCACUACCUGUUACCAGUUACACAUCUAUCUAAACAUUGUUCAUAUAAUUCAAUACACGUAAGGGCGACCUGGGUCCAAGCCAUUCUCCUAGAUCUUAAAGCGUCCCCUCUGCAGUGGAUGUGGCAGAGCUGCUCGGGGCUCUGAGCAGAGCAUGCAGCAUGGGAAGGGACACCGAGAGACAGGGAUGCAGGGCUGGAUGACCAGGCCAGAGGUGGAGAUGUCAGUGAGUAUGGCAAAGCCUGGUGUGUGGCACAGUUAAAGGAGAGUGUUAAGGUCGAGAGGACUAGAUUUCCCACUUGCCAAUGUCUUAUUCCUAUUGGCAAAAUGUGCAGUGCGCUGGCACACACCAGUACCAUCAGGGGGGAAACACGUCCAGCAGACACAGGGAGGCCAGGACCUCACACGUCAGCCCAGGCCUGACAGACCCCUGCUGGACAUGCAGCUCAGCAGCAUCAGUGGCCAGCGUUGCUGAGUGUGUUUUGUGACUGCCACACACUGGCCUUGCCUUGUCCAGCUUCACCAUGGGACAUUCUGUUGAGGUACAGGUCAGAUAACUCGAUCACGAAACAGAGCUGAUUCCAAAGAUGUGACCACAGCCUGUCUGUUCUGUGCCCUCCAGACACAGAGCAAAGAUUCACACACAGGAAGCGGGACCAUAGUGACCAUGAUGAGCUGCCGGUGCUCCUGGGCUCGCCCUUCUCCUGGAAAGCUGGUCUGGCCGGGAAGCGCAACACCACCCAGGGUCUCAGACUCUGGGGUUCACUUCUGCUGCAUAUUUCAACUCCCAGGUGUCCCGGGGCUGUUUUCUUCCUUCUUGGCUCCGACAGAGCGUGAUGGGCAGACCCCGUGGCGUCACUCCACCACCCCCUCUGAGGUUGAGCACAGGGGAGGACUGACCUUGGGGUCAGAGCAGAGAGGAGCCCUCCCAGCCUACCCCAAGGCUGUCAUGCCCUUGACCCCGGCAGGGAGGAGGAACCCUGUGCUGUGGGUUGUGACUUCAUGGAAACACUGGACGGC